CAGGGAUUUCUUGAUCACCUUUUCAAGGUGCUGGAGCCAAUCCUAACUCCUCCAACUGGAUGGCAGCCCUGUGCCAAAAUGUUCCAGGAAGUCCUUCAGGUCCAGCUAAUGAAGUUGCUAGACAGCAUCUUAGAUCUGGACGAGUCAACCUUCAGCCAAGCUGACGUCCUAUCAGCUGUGCUCUUCAGCCGGCUGGAGGGAAUCAUCCAGGAGCUGCUGGGAGAUCUGGAUGGCUGCUGACUUUCACAGCCAGACCUCACUUAACAUUUCUAUUCACAUCUAGAAGUCUGCUUCAUUUAAUAAACUGCAUACCCACA